GAUGAAGAACUUAGUGAAAUGCGAUACUUGGUGUGAAUUGCAGAAUCCCGUGAACCAUCGAGUCUUUGAACGCAAGUUGCGCCCGAAGCCAUUAGGCCGAGGGCACGCCUGCCUGGGCGUCACACGUCGUUGCCCCCCCCAUCUACUCCUUCGGGAUUGCGGGGGGCGGAUGAUGGCCUCCCGUGCGCCUCGCCGCGCGGUUGGCAUAAAUGCCAAGUCCUCGGCGACGCACGCCACGACAAUCGGUGGUUGCGAAACCUCGGUUGCCCGUCGUGUGCGGUCGUCGCGCAUCGAGGGCUCGAAAAAAUUGCCGAGUUCCGGCUCGGCUUUCAACGCGACCCCAGGUCAGGCGGGGUUACCCGCUGAAUUUAAGCAUAUCAAUAAGCGGAGGA
rnacentral:misc_RNA from 1 species